AUACGGAGGCUGCAAGCGUUAAUCGGAAUUACUGGGCGUAAAGAGUACGUAGGUGGUUUGUUAAGUCAGAUGUGAAAGCCCCGGGCUCAACCUGGGAACUGCAUUUGAAACUGGCAAACUAGAGUAUGGUAGAGGGGGGUAGAAUUUCUAGUGUAGCGGUGAAAUGCGUAGAUAUUAGAAGGAAUACCAGUGGCGAAGGCGGCCCCCUGGACCAAUACUGACACUGAGGUACGAAAGCGUGGGUAGCGAACAGGAUUAGAUACCCUAGUAGUCC
rnacentral:rRNA from 1 species